UAGACUAUACUUUCAGGGAUCAUUUCUAUAGUUGGUGACUAGAGAAGUGUGUCCGAAAGUGAUCAAUAGCCAAAGAUAUCUUAUU
rnacentral:snoRNA from 1 species